AAGGGAGGAAAAUGUAAUAGUGUCUAUAGAUGGAAUUAAUAUUGAAAGGGUAUCUGAACUUGGCUUUUUGGGAGUAAUACUGGAUGAAGGUCUGACAUGGAAAUCCCAUAUUGCAUAUGUGAGGAAGAAGAUGUCUAAGAGUAUUUUCAUUCUAAAUAAGGUAAAGCAUUUGUUAGAUUACAGGGCAAUGCAAACACUGUAUUGUGCACUUAUAUUGCCAUAUAUCAGCUACUGUGUGGAAGCAGGCCUUUGGAAACACGGAGGAG